GGCUGAACUCCUAUCUCUACCUCCACGUGGUACUGACCGGGUAUGAGUAACCUAAGGGAAGAUCGGGUAACCAACACCGGUGGGAACUCUGGUCGUAUGCUGACAGGGAAAAGG
rnacentral:ribozyme from 1 species